UAACUCCCAACCCCUGUGACAUACCAAUUGUUGCCUCGGCGGAUCAGCCCGCUCCCGGUAAAACGGGACGGCCCGCCAGAGGACCCCUAAACUCUGUUUCUAUAUGUAACUUCUGAGUAAAACCAUAAAUAAAUCAAAACUUUCAACAACGGAUCUCUUGGUUCUGGCAUCGAUGAAGAACGCAGCAAAAUGCGAUAAGUAAUGUGAAUUGCAGAAUUCAGUGAAUCAUCGAAUCUUUGAACGCACAUUGCGCCCGCCAGUAUUCUGGCGGGCAUGCCUGUUCGAGCGUCAUUUCAACCCUCAAGCCCCCGGGUUUGGUGUUGGGGAUCGGCGAGCCUCACGGCAAGCCGGCCCCGAAAUACAGUGGCGGUCUCGCUGCAGCUUCCAUUGCGUAGUAGUAAAACCCUCGCAACUGGUACGCGGCGCGGCCAAGCCGUUAAACCCCCAACUUCUGAAUGUUGACCUCGGAUCAGGUAGGAAUACCCGCUGAACUUAAGCAUAUCAAUAAGCGGAGGAA
rnacentral:rRNA from 1 species